rnacentral:rRNA from 1 species
AUUGAACGCUGGCGGAAUGCUUUACACAUGCAAGUCGAACGGCAGCAUAGGUGCUUGCACCUGAUGGCGAGUGGCGAACGGGUGAGUAAUACAUCGGAACGUGCCCAGUCGUGGGGGAUAACGUAGCGAAAGUUACGCUAAUACCGCAUACGAUCUACGGAUGAAAGCGGGGGACCGUAAGGCCUCGCGCGAUUGGAGCGGCCGAUGUCAGAUUAGGUAGUUGGUGGGGUAAAGGCCCACCAAGCCAACGAUCUGUAGCUGGUCUGAGAGGACGACCAGCCACACUGGGACUGAGACACGGCCAAGACUCCUACGGGAGGGAGCAGUGGGGAAUUUUGGACAAUUGGCGCAAGCCUGAUCCAGCCAUUCCGCGUGCAGGAUGAAGGCCUUCGGGUUGUAAACUGCUUUUGUACGGAACGAAAAGCUCUGGGUUAAUACCCCGGGGUCAUGACGGUACCGUAAGAAUAAGCACCGGCUAACUACGUGCCAGCCGCCGCCGUAA